rnacentral:misc_RNA from 1 species
GUUCUAGACUUACAAGUGAUUGCUAUACUUUUGAUUACUAGGAGAAGAGUUGGCUCCUGAAUAAUUUGGAUAACUGAUAAUGCAUCUCCCUCAAUUGAAAUCUGUUGAAAGCCUUGCGCUCUAGCUAAAAGGAUCGCCUUUCGACAUGCGAGGGCUUCUAAGAUUAAUGGACCAAUCUGACUCAAAAAGCAUUUGCAGAACCAACCCAACAGACGACCAACUGUGGUGGAACCACAAUUUUUGGGCUUAUAGCUUUAUUAAAAUUAAUUUUGAUGGCACCUUGAAGAGGUCUUGUCCAA